AUUGAACGCUGGCGGCAUGCCUUACACAUGCAAGUCGAACGGUAACAGGUCUUCGGAUGCUGACGAGUGGCGAACGGGUGAGUAAUACAUCGGAACGUGCCUAGUAGUGGGGGAUAACUACUCGAAAGAGUGGCUAAUACCGCAUGAGAUCUACGGAUGAAAGCAGGGGAUCGCAAGACCUUGUGCUACUAGAGCGGCCGAUGGCAGAUCAGGUAGUUGGUGGGAUAAAAGCUUACCAAGCCGACGAUCUGUAGCUGGUCUGAGAGGACGAUCAGCCACACGGAGACUGAGACACGGCCCAGACUCCGACGGGAGGCAGCAGUGGGGAAUUUUGGACAAUGGGCGAAAGCCUGAUCCAGCAAUGCCGCGUGCAGGAUGAAGGCCUUCGGGUUGUAAACUGCUUUUGUACGGAACGAAAAGCCCUGGGUUAAUACCCUGGGGUCAUGACGGUACCGUAAGAAUAAGCACCGGCUAACUACGUGCCAGCCGCCGCCGUAA
rnacentral:rRNA from 1 species